CCAAGGUUGAUUUGAGUCAAUCGGCCGCAGGCGUUAUAAUCUGCAACUUUUUUAACCUGGGGUAAGGAAGUUAUGGCCCGUAUUGCUGGGGUUAACAUCCCUAAU
rfam:Jeongeupia sp. TSM3, complete genome.